GGGCCCGUAGCCCAACGGUACUUUGUGUAAGCAAAGGUUUACGCGAAGCGAAAAAGAGCGCUUCCUUUGCAAGGAAGAGGUUUCGGGUUCGAAUCCCGACGGGUCCA
rnacentral:tRNA from 1 species